rnacentral:rRNA from 1 species
UUUCCGGUUGAUCCUGCCGGACCUGACUGCUAUCGGAUUGAUACUAAGCCAUGCUGGUCUUUGUAGUAAUACAAGGCAUACGGCUCAGUAACGCGUAGUCAACCUACCCUAUGGACGGGGAUAAUCUCGGGAAACUGAGCAUAAUACCCGGCAGACCACUUAUCCUGGAAUGGUUAGUGGUUAAAAUGAUUCGUCGCCAUAGGAUGGGACUGCGGCCUAUCAGCUUGUUGGUGAGGUGAUGGCCCACCAAGGCGAUUACAGGUACGGGCUCUGAGAGGAGAGGCCCGGAGAUGGGUACUGAGACAAGGACCCAGGCCCUAUGGGGCGCAGCAGGCGAGAAAACUUUGCAAUGUGCGAAAGCACGACAAGGUUAAUCCGAGUGAUUUCUGCUAAAGGAAUCUUUUGUUAGUUCUAAAAAUACUAGUGAAUAAGGGGUGGGCAAGUUCUGGUGUCAGCCGCCGCGGUAAAACCAGCACCUCAAGUGGUCAGGAGGAUUAUUGGGCCUAAAGCAUCCGUAGCCUGUUCUAUAAGUUUGCGGUUAAAUCUAUACGCUCAACGUAUAGGCUGCCGUAAAUACUGUAGAACUAGGGAGUGGGAGAGGUAGACGGUACUCGAUAGGAAGGGGUAAAAUCCUUUGAUCUAUUGAUGACCACCUGUGGCGAAGGCGGUCUACCAGAACACGUUCGACGGUGAGGGAUGAAAGCUGGGGGAGCAAACCGGAUUAGAUACCCGGGUAGUCCCAGCUGUAAACGAUGCAGACUCGAUGAUGCAAUGGCAUAGAGCUAUUGCAGUAUCGCAGGGAAGCCGUUAAGUUUGCCGCCUGGGAAGUACGUACGCAAGUAUGAAACUUAAAGGAAUUGGCGGGGGAGCACCACAAGGGGUGAAGCCUGCGGUUCAAUUGGAGUCAACGCCGGG